rnacentral:tRNA from 2 species
GGAGAGGUGGCAGAGUGGUUGAAUGCGGCGGUCUCGAAAACCGUUAUAGGUGCAUAACCUAUCGGGGGUUCGAAUCCCCCCCUCUCCG